rnacentral:lncRNA from 1 species
GUCAUCCUUAUCCAUGUGAAUAGUUUCGACCUAAUAACAUUCGGACAUGUGGCAAAAUCUACUUGUCAGAAUCAUAUCGUCUGACACCGAAUCAUCUUCUUGAAAUGAUGUCUGAUACUGACAUCUGUUACUGAAUCAUCUUAUUAAUACAGCAACUUAAAGACAACUCUAUACCUAUCAAAAUGACAAAACAGUCGAUCACCCAUACCUCGAAAAAAGUGACUGC